rnacentral:rRNA from 1 species
UACGAAGGGGGCGAGCGGUGUUCGGAUUUACUGGGCGUAAAGGGCGCGCAGGCGGCUUUGUUUGUCAGGCGUGAAAGCCCCGGGCUUAACCUGGGAACUGCGUUUGAUACGGCAGGGCUAGAGUUCGGGAGAGGAGCGUGGAAUUCCCGGUGUAGAGGUGAAAUUCGUAGAUAUUGGGAAGAACACCGGUGGCGAAGGCGGCGCUCUGGACCGAGACUGACGCUGAGGCGCGAAAGCGUGGGGAGCAAACAGG